rnacentral:rRNA from 1 species
CUACGGGUUGCUGCAGUGGGGAAUUUUGGACAAUGGGGGCAACCCUGAUCCAGCCAUGCCGCGUGAGUGAAGAAGGCCUUCGGGUUGUAAAGCUCUUUCGUCAGGGAAGAAAUUGGAGGGGUUAAUAGCUCUUCUGGAUGACGGUACCUGAAUAAGAAGCACCGGCUAACUACGUGCCAGCAGCCGCGGUAAUACGUAGGGUGCGAGCGUUAAUCGGAAUUACUGGGCGUAAAGCGUGCGCAGGCGGCGCGUUAAGACAGGUGUGAAAUCCCCGGGCUCAACCUGGGAAUUGCGCUUGUGACUGGCGUGCUCGAGUACGGCAGAGGGGGGUGGAAUUCCACGUGUAGCAGUGAAAUGCGUAGAGAUGUGGAGGAACACCGAUGGCGAAGGCAGCCCCCUGGGCCGAUACUGACGCUCAUGCACGAAAGCGUGGGGAGCAAACAGGAUUAGAUACCCCGGUAGUC